rnacentral:rRNA from 1 species
CGUGAGGGAAAGUUGAAAAGUACUUUGAAGAGAGAGUAAACAGUGCGUGAAACCGCUCAGAGGUAAACGGGUGGAGUUGAACUGCAAGCUCCGAGGAUUCAGCUGGUGAGAUUGGCAUGAGCUUGGUCAUGUGGGUUGUGUGUUCGGGUCUGCUUAGCUGCAGGUCCUCGCCUUUGGUGGGGAUGCGCGUAUCGCUUAUCAAGCGUUGUGCGCCCGGNCUUCUCGANCCUUCUCGCUAGUGCACUUUCUCGGGGUGUUCACCACGACCGGCGUUGCUGUCUGGCUGGUGCGGUUAAACCGGUCUUGUAGGGUCCUUGUGGCCUUGCUUGGUCGGGAUGGCAGGUAGCCCGUUGUGUACUUCGGUGUGCUUCGGGUGUAAUAGCCGACUGCAUCGGUUCUGUGCGGUACGUCGGAGACGGCGGCUUGUUGUGCGUGCGGGCGUGCCUGUUGCGCUGGCGGCUCUGAGUCUGGUUGCCUUGUUGCUUGUAAAUGCAGGCCUGGUGAUGGCUCGGGGUCGUUUGGUGUGCGGUUGCGUUCGUGGCACUUUAAAGGGCCUAAAGUCUGUGGUGUAGUGGUAGACUAUCCACCUGACCCGUCUUGAAACACGGACCAAGGAGAGUAACAUGUGCGCGAGUCAUUGGGCGUUACGAAACCCAAAGGCGAAGUGAAAGUAAAGGUUCGGCUUGUCCGGACUGAGGUGAGAUCCUGUCGUUUCUCACGCCUGGUACUACCAAGCAUCGAGCGGCGGGCGCAUCACCGGCCCGUCCCAUGGCGUAGUGGCGGCCUCGUGCCUGCUCAUCGUCGGGGCGGAGCAUGAGCGUACAUGUUGAGACCCGAAAGAUGGUGAACUAUGCUUGCGCAGGUUGAAGCCAGAGGAAACUCUGGUGGAGGACCGCAGCGAUUCUGACGUGCAAAUCGAUCGUCAAACGUGAGUAUAGGGGCGAAAGACUAAUCGAACCAUCUAGUAGCUGGUUCCCUCCGAAGUUUCCCUCAGGAUAGCAAGCCGAAUUCUGCAGAU